CGAUGUUCUCAGGGCGGGGUGAAAGUCCCCACCGGCGGUAAGGGCCGAAAGGCCUAAGCCCGCGAGCGCCUUCCCCAAGGUCUUUGCUGAAGGGAAGGGUCAGCAGAUUCGGUGCAACUCCGAAGCCGACGGUUAAAGUCCGGAUGAAAGAGAACGGUC
rnacentral:ncRNA from 2 species